GAUUAGCCAUGCGAGUCUAAAGGUUUCUUCGGAAGCCUUGGCGGACUGCUCAGUAACACGUGGAUAACCUGCCCUUAGGUCCGGCAUAACCCCGGGAAACUGGGGAUAAUUCCGGAUAGAUCAGGGGUCGCUGGAAUGCGCCCUGAUCCAAAGCUCCGGUGCCUAAGGAUGGGUCUGCGACCUAUCAGGUUGUAGUGGGUGUAAUGUACCUACUAGCCGACGACGGGUACGGGUUGUGAGAGCAAGAGCCCGGAGAUGGAUUCUGAGACACGAAUCCAGGCCCUACGGGGUGCAGCAGGCGCGAAACCUUUACAAUGUGCGAAAGCAUGAUAAGGGAACUCCGAGUGCCAGCAUUAAAUGUUGGCUGUCCUUGUGCCUAAAACGCACAAGAUAGCAAGGGCCGGGUAAGACCGGUGCCAGCCGCCGCGGUAACACCGGCGGCCCGAGUGGUAGCCGCUAUUAUUGGGUCUAAAGGGUCCGUAGCCGGUUUGAUAAGUCCUCUGGGAAAUCUGAUUGCUCAACAAUCAGGCUGCCAAGGGAUACUGUCAAACUUGAGACCGGGAGAGGUAAGAGGUACUUCAGGGGUAGGAGUGAAAUCUUAUAAUCCUUGGGGGACCGUCUGUGGCGAAGGCGUCUUACCAGAACGGGUCUGACGGUGAGGGACGAAAGCUGGGGGCGCGAACCGGAUUAGAUACCCGGGUAGUCCCAGCCGUAAACGAUGCUCGCUAUGUGUCAGAUACGGUGCGACCGUAUCUGGUGCCGUAGGGAAGCCGUGAAGCGAGCCACCUGGGAAGUACGGCCGCAAGGCUGAAACUUAAAGGAAUUGGCGGGGAGCACUACAACGGGGGAAGC
rnacentral:rRNA from 1 species